UACGUAGGGUGCGAGCGUUAAUCGGAAUUACUGGGCGUAAAGCGUGCGCAGGCGGUUCGGAAAGAAAGAUGUGAAAUCCCAGAGCUUAACUUUGGAACUGCAUUUUUAACUGCCAAGCUAGAGUAUGUCAGAGGGGGGUAGAAUUCCACGUGUAGCAGUGAAAUGCGUAGAGAUGUGGAGGAAUACCGAUGGCGAAGGCAGCCCCCUGGGAUAAUACUGACGCUCAUGCACGAAAGCGUGGGGAGCAAACAGG
rnacentral:rRNA from 1 species